rnacentral:tRNA from 1 species
GGGCCGGUAGCUCAGCCGGUAGAGCAACUGACUUUUAAUCAGUAGGUCUCGGGUUCGGAACCCGACCGGCUCACCA